CGAAAUGGACAAUGGAACCACCUCCAUAUUCAUCUCCACCUCCUGAUCAAGAAUUCAACCUCUAAAUCCCCUAAUUUCUGACCUAGAUCCAUAAUUGAAACCAACUACUCAAGAACCAUAAAAAAUCAAAUCUAAAUUACACCUCCAUGAACAAGAUUUGAGUUUCCUCAUGAUAGGGUUUUGCAACAGCAUGGUGUGAGGUUCAACAUAGCAACCAAAAUACAAUGAAAUGAUGUAAGUGAACC
rnacentral:lncRNA from 1 species